UCCCUGGUGGCUCAGACGGUAAAGCGUCUGUCCGCAAUGCAGGAGACCCUGGUUCAAUCCCUGGUUUGGGAA
rnacentral:tRNA from 1 species